AAGCAUAUCAAUAAGCGGAGGAAAAGAAACCAACAGGGAUUGCCCUAGUAACGGCGAGUGAAGCGGCAACAGCUCAAAUUUGAAAUCUGGCUUCGGCCCGAGUUGUAAUUUGCAGAGGAAGCUUUAGGCGCGGCACCUCCUGAGUCCCCUGGAACGGGGCGCCACAGAGGGUGAGAGCCCCGUAUAGUUGGAUGCCUAGCCUGUGUAAAGCUCCUUCGACGAGUCGAGUAGUUUGGGAAUGCUGCUCAAAAUGGGAGGUAAAUUUCUUCUAAAGCUAAAUACCGGCCAGAGACCGAUAGCGCACAAGUAGAGUGAUCGAAAGAUGAAAAGCACUUUGAAAAGAGGGUUAAAUAGCACGUGAAAUUGUUGAAAGGGAAGCGCUUGUGACCAGACUUGCGCCGGGCUGAUCAUCCGGUGUUCUCACCGGUGCACUCUGCCCGGCUCAGGCCAGCAUCGGUUCUCGCGGGGGGAUAAAGGCCCUGGGAACGUAGCUCCUCCGGGAGUGUUAUAGCCCGGGGCGCAAUGCCCUCGCGGGGACCGAGGUUCGCGCUCUGCAAGGAUGCUGGCGUAAUGGUCAUCAGCGACCCGUCUUGAAACACGGACCAAGGAGUCAAGGUUUUGCGCGAGUGUUUGGGUGUAAAACCCGCACGCGUAAUGAAAGUGAACGUAGGUGAGAGCUUCGGCGCAUCAUCGACCGAUCCUGAUGUUCUCGGAUGGAUUUGAGUAGGAGCGUUAAGCCUUGGACCCGAAAGAUGGUGAACUAUGCUUGGAUAGGGUGAAGCCAGAGGAAACUCUGGUGGAGGCUCGCAGCGGUUCUGACGUGCAAAUCGAUCGUCAAAUCUGAGCAUGGGGGGCGAAAGACUAAUCG
rnacentral:rRNA from 1 species